rnacentral:rRNA from 1 species
AUUGAACGCUGGCGGCAGGCCUAACACAUGCAAGUCGAACGAGUGGCGGAUGGGUGAGUAAUGUCUGGGAAACUGCCUGAUGGAGGGGGAUAACUACUGGAAACGGUAGCUAACACCGCAUACUAUUAGAUGUGCUCAUAUGGGAUUAGCUAGUUGGUGGGGUAACGGCUCACCAAGGCGACGAUCCCUAGCUGGUCUGAGAGGAUGACCAGCCACACUAGAACUGCAACACGGUCAAGACUCCGACGGGAGGCAGCAGUGGGGAAUAUUGCACAAUGGGCGCAAGCCUGAUGCAGCAAUGCCGCGUGUAUGAAGAAGGCCUUCGGGUUGUAAAGUACUUUCAGCGGGGAGGCGUUACCCGCAGAAGAAGCACCGGCUAACUCCGUGCCAGCAGCCGCGGUAAUAC